rnacentral:misc_RNA from 1 species
GGUUCGAUUAUGGCUCAGAUUGAACGCUGGCCGGGAUGCUUUACAUGCAAGUCGAACGGCAGCACGGACUUCGGUCUGGUGGCAGUGGCGAACGGGUGAGUAAUGUAUCGGAACGUGCCUAGUAGCGGGGGAUAACUACGCGAAAGCGUAGCUAAUACCGCAUGCACGCCCUUCGGGGGGAAAGCGGGGGGACCUUCGGGCCUCGCACUAUUAAGAGCGGCCGAUAUCGGAUUAGCUAGUUGGUGGGGAGUAACGGCUCGCCCGGGCGACGAUCCGUAGCUGGUUUGAGAGGACGACCAGCCACACUGGGACUGAGACACGGCCCGGGCUCACGGGAGGCAGCAGUGGGGAAUUUUGGACAAUGGGGAAACCCUGAUCCAGCCAUCCCGCGUGUGCGAUGAAGGCCUUCGGGUUGUAAAGCACUUUUGGCAGGAAAACGGCACGGGAUAAUACCCCGUGCAACUGACGGUACCUGCAGAAUAAGCACCGGCUAACUACGUGCCAGCAGCCGCGGUAAUACGUAGGGUGCAAGCGUUAAUCGGAAUUACUGGGCGUAAAGCGUGCGCGAGCGGUUCGGAAGAAGAUCUUGAAAUCCCAGAGCUUAACUUUGGAACUGCAUUUUUAACUACCGAGCUAGGUGUGUCAGAGGAGGUGGAAUUCCGCGUGUAGCAGUGAAAUGCGUAGAUAUGCGGAGGAACACCGAUGGCGAAGGCAGCCUCCUGGGAUAACACUGACGCUCAUGCACAGCGUUGGGAGCAAACAGGAUUAGAUACCCUGGUAGUCCACGCGCCCUAAACGAUGUCAACUAGCUGUUGGGGCCUUCGGGCCUUGGUAAGCCGCAGCUAACGCGUGAAGUUGACCGCCUGGGGAGUACGGUCGCAAGAUUAAAACUCAAAGGAAUUGACGGGGACC